UGGAUCGUGUGUGUGAAAGAUCUGGACGGGAUAAGGACUGGUGAGCUGCAGAUUGGCGACUAAUGAUGCCGAAUCGUUUGAAGAUUUGACGCAGGACACGGGGAAAAGUGGAGUAACCGCAAGGUCUGUAAGAGUAGGGCCGCCUUCGCCGGGGUAAAUGCCGUUCCAGUCGCAGUAGUUCCUGGGAGGGGGUUCUCAUCGAGAGCCCUAUGUCAGUGAGCCACGUGCACAAGGCAUCUAAAUGAGACUGUAAAGCAGAUUGCAGCUCUGGUAGCGAUGCAGCUGCUGCUACCAAAAGGCAAUCUCACCUGGAUAUACUAUAUGGUCACAACACCAGGAUAUUUUGGGACGGACCUUGAAAGAUGCUGAAGGGCAAAGAAGCUGGGGUGUACGGCUGACCUGGUUUCGUGACGCGCUCUUCGCGUAACCUUAUCACGUGGGAGCCUACUUCCGCCACUGUGGAGCCCCGAACAGUGUGUUGAACUCUCGAAUCUCGUCUGCCUGUACCUCUCCCUAAUGAGACGUUGUCCCGACUCUCGAGAGACAAAAUGGAUUGAUCAGUAUAUCUUCCCGUUGGCGCUGUUUCCACAUCUCCGAACUCUCCCUCCCCUUGGAAGAUUACCCCAACGUGAUUGACUCUGGCCUUGUAUGUCCGAAGAUUAUUCGCAUCGA